GACGAACGCUGGCGGCGUGCCUAAUACAUGCAAGUAGAACGCUGAAGAGAGGAGCUUGCUCUUCUUGGAUGAGUUGCGAACGGGUGAGUAACGCGUAGGUAACCUGCCUUGUAGCGGGGGAUAACUAUUGGAAACGAUAGCUAAUACCGCAUAACAAUGGAUGACACAUGUCAUUUAUUUGAAAGGGGCAAUUGCUCCACUACAAGAUGGACCUGCGUUGUAUUAGCUAGUAGGUGAGGUAAUGGCUCACCUAGGCGACGAUACAUAGCCGACCUGAGAGGGUGAUCGGCCACACUGGGACUGAGACACGGCCCAGACUCCUACGGGAGGCAGCAGUAGGGAAUCUUCGGCAAUGGGGGCAACCCUGACCGAGCAACGCCGCGUGAGUGAAGAAGGUUUUCGGAUCGUAAAGCUCUGUUGUAAGUCAAGAACGGGUGUGAGAGUGGAAAGUUCACACUGUGACGGUAGCUUACCAGAAAGGGACGGCUAACUACGUGCCAGCAGCCGCGGUAAUACGUAGGUCCCGAGCGUUGUCCGGAUUUAUUGGGCGUAAAGCGAGCGCAGGCGGUUUGAUAAGUCUGAAGUUAAAGGCUGUGGCUCAACCAUAGUUCGCUUUGGAACCUGUCAAACUUGAGUGCAGAAGGGGAGAGUGGAAUUCCAUGUGUAGCGGUGAAAUGCGUAGAUAUAUGGAGGAACACCGGUGGCGAAAGCGGCUCUCUGGUCUGUAACUGACGCUGAGGCUCGAAAGCGUGGGGAGCGAACAGGAUUAGAUACCCUGGUAGUCCACGCCGUAAACGAUGAGUGCUAGGUGUUGGAUCCUUUCCGGGAUUCAGUGCCGCAGCUAACGCAUUAAGCACUCCGCCUGGGGAGUACGACCGCAAGGUUGAAACUCAAAGGAAUUGACGGGGGCCCGCACAAGCGGUGGAGCAUGUGGUCUAAUUCGAAGCAACGCGAAGAACCUUACCAGGUCUUGACAUCCCGAUGCUAUUUCUAGAGAUAGAAAGUUACUUCGGUACAUCGGUGACAGGUGGUGCAUGGUUGUCGUCAGCUCGUGUCGUGAGAUGUUGGGUUAAGUCCCGCAACGAGCGCAACCCCUAUUGUUAGUUGCCAUCAUUCAGUUGGGCACUCUAGCGAGACUGCCGGUAAUAAACCGGAGGAAGGUGGGGAUGACGUCAAAUCAUCAUGCCCCUUAUGACCUGGGCUACACACGUGCUACAAUGGUUGGUACAACGAGUUGCGAGUCGGUGACGGCGAGCUAAUCUCUUAAAGCCAAUCUCAGUUCGGAUUGUAGGCUGCAACUCGCCUACAUGAAGUCGGAAUCGCUAGUAAUCGCGGAUCAGCACGCCGCGGUGAAUACGUUCCCGGGCCU
rnacentral:rRNA from 1 species